rnacentral:rRNA from 1 species
UACGUAGGGGGCAAGCGUUGUCCGGAAUUAUUGGGCGUAAAGAGCUCGUAGGCGGUGUGUCACGUCGUUCAUGAAAACCUGCAGCUUAACUGUGGGCGUGCGGUCGAUACGGGCAUCACUGGAGUUCGGCAGGGGAGACUGGAAUUUACGGUGUAGCGGUGAAAUGCGUAGAUAUCGUAAGGAAGAACCAGUGGCGAAGGCGGGUCUCUGGACAGUUCCUGACGCUGAGGCACGAAGGCCAGGGGGAGCAAACGGG